GCCGCAGUGUAGCAUAGUGGUAAGGAGCAGGGCUCGUAACCAAAAGUUUGCUGGUUCGAUUCCUUCCUAGGGCA